UACGUAGGGACCAAGCGUUGUUCGGAUUUACUGGGCGUAAAGGGCGCGUAGGCGGCAAUUCAAGUCAUCUGUGAAAUCUCCGGGCUUAACUCGGAACGGUCAGAUGAUACUGCUUUUGCUAGAGUGCGGGAAGGGGCAAUCGGAAUUCUUGGUGUAGCGGUGAAAUGCGUAGAUAUCAAGAGGAACACCUGAGGUGAAGACGGGUUGCUGGGCCG
rnacentral:rRNA from 1 species